GUGAAUCAUCGAAUCUUUGAACGCAAAUUGCGCUUCCUAGCAUCCCGGGAAGUAUGCCUGGUUGAGGGUCAGUAUUAACAAAAAAAUCGGUUUGGUUGCAAAUUGUGACGUUUCCGGAGUUUGGGCUAUCUUAACUUUUUUGGUUAAGGGGCUUAAAAUUUACCUUUUUUGCGCAUUUUUAGACGUACAUAAAUUUUUUUUUUUUUAGUCUAUCCUUGAUUCCAAAUUCUAUUUAGAUUCAAU
rnacentral:misc_RNA from 1 species